rnacentral:lncRNA from 1 species
GACUGCCAAACUUAUCUUAGACACCAACAGGUUAAUUAGUUUCAAUUUGAUUAGCUUAUAGACUUAGAUUUGACCACUAAGCUAAAAUCAAUAUUCAUUUAGUCUAAUCAAAGAUAUGGACUUAACCAACUAUAACUAUUGUAUUUGAUCUAGGAUGUCCUUGACCUAAUCUAAAUAAACUUUUGGUUAGAUCCGAUCAACUACUCUUUUAGUCUAUUA